AGAGUUUGAUCCUGGCUCAGCCUAACGCUGGCGGCGUGGCUAAGACCUUGCAAGUCGCACGGAGGUAGCAAUACCUCAGUGGCGAACGGGUGAGUAAUGAAUCGCUAAUGUACCCCGGACUCUGGGAUAGCUACCCGAAAGGGUAGGUAAUACCAGAUGAUAUGCAGCUGUCGCAUGACAGUUGCCUCAAAGGUCCGCCGGUCUGGGAGCAGGCGAUUUCGUAUCAGCUAGUUGGUGAGGUACCGGCUCCACCAAGGCGACAACAGCGUAGCCGGACUGAGAGGUUGGCCGGCCACAUUGGGACUGAGACACUGCCCAGACUCCUACGGGGGGCUGCAGUAACGAAUCUUCCGCAAUGCACGAAAGUGUGACGGAGCGACGCCGCGUGUGGGACGAAGCCCUUCGGGGUGUAAACCACUGGCAGGGGAAAGAAAGUUCUG
rnacentral:rRNA from 1 species